ensembl:lncRNA
GCGAAGGCGGUCGCACUUUAUUUCCUCCUCCUCUCCCUUAGCUUCCCCGCUUAGCCUCUUGUGUCCUUGUCUAGUCUCGUGUUUUUUGUAUUACUUUUCCCUGGAACACUCUCUCACAGUCUGUUCUCUAAAACCUAAAAGAGGAAUUAUGGAUUUGAUCAGCUGGUCCCUGAAUGCAAUUGACACUCCUUUCUCAACGAGAAGUCUGGGCUUGGGUGAGCCUGACUGCUGAAGAUAUCCACCUAUUUGGAACCAUGAUAACAGGGUUCUUGCUGAUCGGAGCUGGCUUGGCCCUGGCUUAUCGAAGAAUUAAGGAAGCGGAACCGGCUGUUCAAACUCCCACAAGGCUGCCCGCUGGGAUUGAAACGAUGGGACGAGGCGUGAGUUUCUCAAAAUGGGCUCAUUGAGUGCAGCACGGAUAAGAUCUUGGAGAACCGCACGGCUGCCGUGAACACUCAGAACAAGACCUCUGAGUGCAAACUGGAUCACAUCUUGGAGAAGCUCACUGCGGUCGUGAGUUCUCAGAACCUGCUCUUUGAGCACAAGAAUGACAACAUCACGGAGCGUCUCCGCACCAUUCCACCUUGGACUCACAGCCUGUUGUUCACUUCCUCCAGUGCUGGCUUCCUUGUUCCACCUCCGUCAUCAGCUCUCAUUAAGGAAACCUUCGUCUGCCUGUCCUCCUGCCAGCCCCGACGCUCUUGGCAACUCAGCAAACCAUUCCUUCCCACGCACUGCCUCUCUCUGGAUUCUCCCACGGAAACUCUCCCUGAAGCUCUUCAGUCUGGCACUGCAUAGCUUCCGUGGACCCGAUCGCGGCCUCUCAGGACAGUCUUCCCUAUAAGCUGUGCCCGUUCCCACCGGCUCCCGCUUCACUCUUGUUUAUCCUUGUUUUAUUCCCAUUCUUUCUGUGAAUAAAGUCUUGUACAUAAUUCUCACUGAGUGCACUGAGUCCGCUUUUGGGUCCGGCCCUUGCACAAACCUCGGUUCAUGACAGAAGAACAGUUUAACGUUCAAAAGACAAAGACAAAUGCUGUGAUACAUGUUCAGUCCACACGGACAGUGGUUUGGCACAAUGGGAAAUCAUACAUGGACAGAGGAUCGGGAAAUAAUGCCCUUGGUUAUUAUAACUGCACAGAUUAUUAAAUCAUUAUUAUAUUUCAUUGCAUGUGAUCUUAAGCUUAUUUUUCUUUUUGAGUUUAUGCUUGUAUUGUAUAAUUGUUCACUGUUGCCCAGAUCACAGAAUUUACCCACUUCUACUCUUAUUUUUACAUAUAUUGUAUCUACUGUUUGCUACUUCCUGUUUUAUUUUGGUAAUUGGUUAGCUUUGUUGUUUUACUUCCUGUCCUUGUCUGUUUCCCUCCUUAAUCCUUACCUGCCUGCUCUCAUGUUGAAUUGAUACACUUAUAUAAUAUAUUUAUAUCAUCCUUCCUUUCUCUGUGUAUUUCUUCAGUGUGUCUGUUUUCCCAUUCCCAUUUCUUGGAUUUGUUGCUUAUUUAAACUGUUUGAACUACUCUUCCAGACUUUAUUUUUUGUGGAUUUUUGGAAAUUGAAUCAGUUUUAAAAUCAUUCUAUUUCUGCCUCGAGUUUGCAUCUCAGUCUCCUUCUUGUUUGGUGGAAAAACAAGGACUAGAAGCAGAAAUGCAGCUCUUGAAUAUCAAAUCACUGUUGUUGUUAAUAGACAGCCAUGCAACAUGCAAUUCAGACAGAGCAUAAAUACAACUUAAGGACUGGUUAAGAGCUAACACCUGUGGAGCAUCCAGGUGUGAGACCUGUUUUCAAGGUUUACUUAAAGAAAAGUAAUGGACUGAUUUACCCUUUCAACUCGACGUUCUUGUCCUUUCCUUCCUUUAUUAAAAA